CAUGACCUCAAAUCAGGUAGGAAUACCCGCUGA
rnacentral:rRNA from 1 species